AGCUCUUGCAUGAGGCACCUACAGGCAGAGGAUUAAUUAGGUUUUCAGUUUCAGUUUCCCAGAAAGGAGGUGGGCUUUUUUUUCACCCUGCUUUAAAAGCCCUUGGGCCCUUCCCAGCUGGGUGCCAGCCAACUGUGGCUGCCUGGGACACUCCAUCUUAAGUCCCUGUGCCUCUGCUGUGUGUUACUGAGUGCCUAGGCCGUGCCAGCCUGUAUUCAUCUGUACUAUGACCUGAAGAGGCAGAGGCCAUCACUGUUGGUCCGGUCUCCACCUGGGGAAACUGAGGUUGCACAGUGUCUCUGUGGUGACGAGCAGGGCUUCAUCCAGUGCCUCUGUCCCCACCGAGGGGACUAUGGGAGACAUGGAGGGUGUGUGAGCAACAGGUGAGACUGGAGCCAGCUGAAAACUGGGAGACCGACCCAGCCAACAAACAAUGUCGGUCUCUGUCUUGGCACCUGCAGGAAACAAGCUCCUACUUCCAGAAAAAGUGCUCCUGGGACUCCAGGAUACCAGGCAUCUGGGUAAGCUACAAUGCUUAACCACUUAACACAAUCAGGAAGCAACAGCCAUGCAUUCGGGAAAGGAACUUCAGUGUUGUGUGGCUCAGUCUCCAGACCUAACUUUCCCUUUGGUACAGACGCGGUGGUACAUGCCUGUAAUCCCAACACUUAGGCAGGAGGAUCACUCGAGCCCAGAAGAUCAAGACUAGUGUGAGCAACAAAAUCCUUCCCUGGCACCGGUUCCAGGAGGACCUCGUUCUUAGGCAGCAUCUGUGUCUCUGUUUUGUAAGACACACAGAGUAUCCUUAACCCACUGCAGAUAUUUCCCUGGGUCCAUGGUCAAUCAACACCACCUUUCAGUCUCCAGCCUCUUAACCAGCCCAGGGCUGAGUGUUGUUUAUAGUAUUAAUAUGUUUCUGGCUGGGCUCAGUGGCUCAUGCCUGUAAUCCCGGCACUAUGGGAGGCUGAGGCAGGCGGAUCACUUGAGGUCAGGAGUUCAAGACCAGCCUGGCCAACAUAGUAAAACCCCGUCUCUACUAAAAAUACAAAAAUGAGCCGGGUGUGGUGGCGUGUGUCUAUAAUCCCAGCUACUCGGGAGGCUGAGGCAGGAGAAUUGCUUGAACCUGGGAGGUGGAGGCUACAGUGAGCUGAGAUCAUGCCACUGCACUCCAGCCUGGGCAAGAAAGUGAGACUCCAUCUCAAAACAAAGAAACAAACAAAGUAUUAAUAUGUUCCCCUUGAUCAGUGGGGUGGUUCACCCUUGUAAUCCCAGCACUUUGGGAGGCAGAGGCUGGCGGAUCGCUUGAGUCCAGGAGUUCGAGACCAGCCUGGGUGAACUAGCAAAACCCUGCCUGUACUAAAAAUACAAAAAUUAACUGGGCUUGGUGGUGCGAGCCUGUAAUCCCAGUGGAGGCUGAGACAGGAGAAUCCUUUUGUAAUGCCUGACCUUGUUUUUUUACUAACCCUAUUUUAACCUUGUUUUUACUAACCCUAUUU
rnacentral:lncRNA from 10 species